rnacentral:rRNA from 1 species
UACGAAGGGGGCUAGCGUUGCUCGGAAUGACUGGGCGUAAAGGGCGCGUAGGCGGUUUGGACAGUCAGAUGUGAAAUUCCUGGGCUCAACCUGGGGGCUGCAUUUGAUACGUUCGGACUAGAGUGGGGAAGAGGGUCGUGGAAUUCCCAGUGUAGAGGUGAAAUUCGUAGAUAUUGGGAAGAGCACCGGUGGCGAAGGCGGCGACCUGGUCCGAUACUGACGCUGAGGCGCGAAAGCGUGGGGAGCAAACAGG